rnacentral:rRNA from 1 species
AACGAACGCUGGCGGCAUGCCUAACACAUGCAAGUCGAACGAGACCUUCGGGUCUAGUGGCGCACGGGUGCGUAACGCGUGGGAACCUGCCCUUAGGUUCGGAAUAACUCCCCGAAAGGGGUGCUAAUACCGGAUAAUGUCAUCGGACCAAAGAUUUAUCGCCUUUGGAUGGGCCCGCGUUGGAUUAGCUAGUUGGUAGGGUAAAAGCCUACCAAGGCGACGAUCCAUAGCUGGUUUGAGAGGAUGAUCAGCCACACUGGGACUGAGACACGGCCCAGACUCCUACGGGAGGCAGCAGUGGGGAAUAUUGGACAAUGGGCGAAAGCCUGAUCCAGCAAGGCCGCGUGAGUGAUGAAGGCCUUAGGGUUGUAAAGCUCUUUUACCCGGGAUGAUAAUGACAGUACCGGGAGAAUAAGCUCCGGCUAACUCCGUG